AAGAGGAUGCUAAGUUUUCAGGUUAGCCUCUGAACAAUAUGGUUUCUAUGGAUUUUUACAAGGCCUAUCUGCACUUAGUUGGUUCCUGGAGACAAUAUAUAUGCUUAUUAAUAGCUUAAUAGCUGAGAAGAACAACGAGAUGCAUAUUUUGGAAGCAUUAGAUGUUCUUUAUCUUUAUGAUAAUUUUCCACUGGCAGGCAAGAUGUUGCCAUUGUUAA
rnacentral:misc_RNA from 1 species